ACCGCCGUCUGCAAGUGAGACAGGUAAACUUACCUAUGUUAGUUAGCAACACCUAAAAAUAAAUUCGUCAACUCCAAUAUACCACUCAAAGCGAUAUCAAUGUGGCAAUUCCCAUAAUAAUUAUCCUUCUUCUCCAAUCUGGGAAGGGCCCCUCGGACACAGGCUGCUUAUAUCUCACGAUAUCAUACUAGUACUGUCCAUGCAAAUUAUAGGUGCCAUAGCACGUUGAAUAACUGAUGGAACCGUUCCUGUCGAGGAGGAGACCACCGAGGGAAUGAGGCGCGCAUUCCCAAAAUCACACCACCCCGUCCAGAAAUUACCGAGCGAGAGACAACGACCUUAUAUCACACCUAUCAGUUGAUUUGUGCAACAUUUAAAGGAAUGCAGGAUUACCCAGAUUCUAGUUUAAAAAAACUUUAGAGAUGAUAUAAAUGAUGAAUUGUGUUCAGAUUGUCCAGUUUGUAGCACAUUGGGCAAAGUAGCAGGCAACAAUCGUUGCCAGCCUUAGUUCUGAAAAAAUUUCUUCACGUCCCGAAAACUCGUCUUGCUCUCCCUACAUUCUCCAACGAUCGGCAUUUUUCCCUUUUUCUUCCUCCUCCUCCUUCUCCUGAUUCCCCCAUAUAUAUCCACAAAUCCACGAAGGAAUGAAGUUCGUCCUGGAUCUAUAGGAGUGCCAACAUCAUAAUUACUGUCGAUAUCAUCAAGAGCGUUCAUUUUACGCGAAUGGCGACCGAGAGCAUUAUCAUGAUUUGUACCUGGCUCACCGAGGUAAAAUUGGCAAGAGUAACUCUUCUUCCUCUGGACUAUUUGCGGUCGACUAUCUAACUUGUUGUAGGUGUUAUCUUCGCAACUUUCAUUGACGGCUGCAUUAAUGAAUGGCAUUGGUGGCGUGGGCUGACUAGGUCCAGCUUUUGAGCUUCCGUAGGAUCGCUGAUGAUAACGCCGCAGGCUGCUGGAGUACCCUUGGCCGGUGUAUUUUUCAUUUCCCGACCUCCAAUCCACUGGGACCGGUUGUAACGUAGUGGGUCGCGAAUAAAUACUUUCGCUGUAUGUUCGCUGCUGGAGGCAAGGUCUACCAAACACGUCGCGAGAAUGGAGACCAUCUACCUCAGCAUCAGGACUCUCUACAUAUCCACCGUUUGUAGUACAAUCCUCUGUGUGAGCUGAACCACUCGUUUGAUCUUCUUGUGUCAGAUUGUUUUGAGAUUGGUUUGGCAUCAGUAACAGUGCAUCGUCAGUGGUUUCAGCUCCACUAGCGCCCGAAGGGGAUAAUCUCGACAAAGUUCCCGGAAGCGGUAUUGAUAUUGGCCGUCGGACGUUCAACGUAUAGGGCUUAAACUUACCAUUUAAAUGGUCAUGAAGCCUCUCACGCGCAGAGUAAGAUCGAAAUGGAACCCGAUCAACGAGACCAAUGUUCUGUUGAUCAAGAAGUGCCCAACGCUUCAACAUUCUGCUAAGAUUGUCGUUUGAACCUUGUGUU
rnacentral:sRNA from 2 species